ACGACCUUACUUGAACAGGAUCUGUUCUAUAGGUUGUACAACUGUGUCCUUGAGUUCUAAGGAGACAAGAACUAAAGUCUGGUGGAUGAACCACUACCCUGUGAUUAGAGCGUGAUUAACGGCUCAAUGAACUUUAGGUCCUGCGGCUGUAGAGGAUCGUUCUUGGCCGAUACGGUACGGCUGGGAUGGUCGCAUGGGCGGUCUGACAGACC